rnacentral:rRNA from 1 species
UACGUAGGGGGCAAGCGUUGUCCGGAAUUAUUGGGCGUAAAGCGCGUGUAGGCGGUUCGGUAAGUCUGCUGUGAAAGUCCAGGGCUCAACCCUGGGAUGCCGGUGGAUACUGUCGGACUAGAGUACGGAAGAGGCGAGUGGAAUUCCCGGUGUAGCGGUGAAAUGCGCAGAUAUCGGGAGGAACACCAGUGGCGAAGGCGACUACCUGGCCUGUUCUUGACGCUGAGGCGCGAAAGCUAGGGGAGCAAACGGG